UUCAUCUCAGCCGUGCUGUGCUUUGGUCCUCCCCACCCAGAACCAUCAGAGCUUGGGCUCUCCUUGCUCAUUAUGCCAGGGUACAGGUGCCAGCGAGGACAAGAAGCUCAGCUGGUGGGGACAGGCUGGGAUAAGCUGUCUGAGCUACACCAUGGUGUUCCUCCCAGUGGCACACCACAGACAGACAGACAGACAGACAGACAGGCACAUGGCAGGGCUGAGGCCGAGCUCCUCACUGCCGUGGAGGAACGUGGAAUGGCAUUUGCAGUGCCCUGCGGAAAGAAAGGACUCGCACUGAGAGAGCAGCCACAGGACACCUCAGUCUUUCAGAGAAAGAGAAUUUAUUGCUCCAUUAUCAGGAGAGACAAACUUCUUCCUGCCUCGCUCAGCCCUGAAGACGCCGCCAGGAUUCAGAGGAAGAAGUUGACACUGCCCAGACAGAAUCCUGUGUUUGAAUGGAAUUUAUGCAUCAUGUAUGAGGUGCAUGAAUAUGCAACAGGCUGUUGUUUUUAAGGGUUAAUCCUCUGUUAACGUGGGGCCUUUUCCAGGUUUAUUUUGCCCAGAAAAAGGUUCCUGGACUGUCUGUAACUCUUUGUUUCUAUUGUCUCAUAUUGCCUUAAUCCAAAUUGUCCAAAUCAUUAUUACUCUAAUUAUAUUGCUAUUUUUAUAACCAUUCUAUUAUCAUUAAACUUUUAAAACUUAAAAAAA